GCAGACACAUUCCAGCCAAUCAGCAGCAGACCCUCCCUCCCAGACCCUCCCACCUCCUGGACAGCAUCCAUUUUACAUUCAUUGUGAAGCUGCAUUCUUAGUGAGCUGUCCAGGAGGUGGGAGGGUCUGGGAGGGAGGGUCUGCUGCUGAUUGGCUUUUGGCAUUUU